ensembl:miRNA
CAGGGAGGCUGAGGACAGGGGCUGACGUUCAUUUUCUACAAGUGUGCGUCUGCCCCUGGGCACAGCACCCCUG